UUACGAUUGUUUGUCUUCCGGGUCCUAAUUACUUUA
rnacentral:sRNA from 1 species